UGCGUAGGCGGAAUGAUAAGUUAGUGGUGAAAGCCCCCGGCUCAACCGGGGAACUGACAUUAAUACUGUCAUUCUUGAGUAUAGUUGAAGUGGGCGGAAUGUAUCAUGUAGCGGUGAAAUGCUUAGAUAUGAUACAGAACACCGAUAGCGUAGGCAGCUUGCUAAACUAUAACUGACGCUCAGGCACGAAAGCGUGGGGAGCAAACAGGAUUAGAUACCCUGGUAGUCC
rnacentral:rRNA from 1 species